rnacentral:lncRNA from 1 species
CCACUCUCAUAACACGUCCGUUGUUCUUUGAGAGCUAAGUCUAACUUAGAUAUCAGAGAUUCUUUUAUGGAACACUUUUGGCAAGUGGGCUUCCUUGGUAUGGAUCAUUUUAAAUUGGAUCUGGCAUCGAAGCCAUCAUCCAAGAGCAGCCUUCUCCAUCUUUCUCAAGUUAGAAGCAUGCAACGACCCUCAAGCCAACUCCUCCAACCGGAAAAGUAAGCAGGUCGACCUCUCUAGCAACCUUGUUAGCUUGAUGCUUGGGGUUGGGUCAAAUCUCAUAGGCAAUAGAUUGACACUACAUAAAGGGCCAUGAUCACUUUUGAAGAUUAGAUUGAUUGGUUAGCACCCACAACUGCCCAAUAGAAUGCACCCACAAAGUCCAACAACUCUCUACAAAGCUCUUAAAGGGCUCCACCUCCAUAGGAGCCACAAGCAACACUAGUGGUUACCAUCGAGUAGUUUCAUUGGCUCAUGUAGUAAGUUUAGAUUUUGAUCACAACCAUCCAAUACUUGCAACAAAUGGCUACUAACCAGCGAUAGCAACAGGCUCAUGCACCAAGCGACCAUGAGGAUUUGAUACAAUUGAGCCACC